rnacentral:misc_RNA from 1 species
GAUGAAGAACGCAGCGAAAUGCGAUAUGUAGUGUGAAUUGCAGAAUUCAGUGAAUCAUCGAAUCUUUGAACGCACAUUGCGCCCCAUGGUAUUCCGUGGGGCAUGCCUGUUCGAGCGUCAUUUACCCCCUCAAGCUCCGCUUGGUGUUGGGCGUCUGUCCCGCUUCGCGCGCGGACUCGCCCCAAAGGUAUUGGCAGCGGUCAUGCCAGCUUCUCGCGCAGCACAUUGCGCUUCUCGAGGCACCGGCGGGCCCGCGUCCAUCAAGCUCACCCCCCCAGUUUGACCUCGGAUCAGGUAGGGAUACCCGCUGAACUUAAGCAUAUCAAUAAGCGGAGGA